rnacentral:misc_RNA from 1 species
GAUGAAGAACGCAGCGAAAUGCGAUAAGUAAUGUGAAUUGCAGAAUUCAGUGAAUCAUCGAAUCUUUGAACGCACAUUGCGCCCGCCAGUAUUCUGGCGGGCAUGCCUGUCCGAGCAUCAUUUCAACCCUCGAACCCCUCCGGGGGGUCGGCGUUGGGGAUCGGGAACCCCUAAGACGGGAUCCCGGCCCCGAAAUACAGUGGCGGUCUCGCCGCAGCCUCUCCUGCGCAGUAGUUUGCACAACUCGCACCGGGAGCGCGGCGCGUCCACGUCCGUAAAACACCCAACUUUCUGAAAUGUUGACCUCGGAUCAGGUAGGAAUACCCGCUGAACUUAAGCAUAUCAAUAAGCGGAGGA